rnacentral:rRNA from 1 species
CCCUUAGAUGUUCUGGGCUGCACCCGUGUUACACUGGCAGGUUCAGCGAGCUUCAUGCCCUGAUCUGAAAGGAAUGGGAAAUCUUUUCAAAACCUGCCGUGCUUGGGAUAGAUGUUUGCAAUUAUUCAUCUUCAACGAGGAUUGCCUUGUAAGCGCACGUCAUCAGCGUGCAUUGAAUACGACCCUGUAUUCUGUACACACCGCCCGUCGCUCCUACCGAUUGAAGUUUUCGGUGAGUUGACAGGAGGAUUUUUUUGAAACUGGUUCGCCAGUGGAUUUUAGAUCCAAAUGCCAACGAAUCGAUGGCUUUAGAGGAAGGAGAAGUCGUAACA